UGCCCCAUGGCUGAGUUGGUUACAGCGUCCGACUGUUACGCAUUCGUUGUCAUCGGAAGGUCGAGAGUUCGAGCCUCUCUGGGGCAG
rnacentral:tRNA from 1 species